rnacentral:rRNA from 1 species
CAGCAGCCGCGGGAAUACGAAGGGUGCAAGCGUUACUCGGAAUUACUGGGCGUAAAGCGUGCGUAGGUGGUGGUUUAAGUCCGUUGUGAAAGCCCUGGGCUCAACCUGGGAAUUGCAGUGGAUACUGGGUCACUAGAGUGUGGUAGAGGAUAGUGGAAUUUCCGGUGUAGCAGUGAAAUGCGUAGAGAUCGGAAGGAACAUCUGUGGCGAAGGCGACUAUCUGGGCCAACACUGACACUGAGGCACGAAAGCGUGGGGAGCAAACAGGAUUAGAUACCCCUGUAGUCCCUGUCUCUUAUAC